rnacentral:ncRNA from 1 species
UCAAUCCGGGAGAGACCGCAAGGCGCCGAAGGGGUACUGCAAGAAACUCUCAGGCAAAAGGACCGGAUUGG